AACGCUGGCGGCGGCUAACACAUGCAGUCGAGCGCGCCUUCGGGUGAGCGGCGGACGGGUUAGUAACGCGUGGGAACGUGCCCUUCUCUACGGAAUAGCCUCUGGAAACGGAGAGUAAUACCGUAUACGCCCUUUGGGGGAAAGAUUUAUCGGAGAAGGAUCGGCCCGCGUUAGAUUAGGUAGUUGGUGGGGUAACGGCCUACCAAGCCUACGAUCUAUAGCUGGUUUUAGAGGAUGAUCAGCAACACUGGGACUGAGACACGGCCCAGACUCCUACGGGAGGCAGCAGUGGGGAAUCUUAGACAAUGGGGGCAACCCUGAUCUAGCCAUGCCGCGUGAGUGAUGAAGGCCUUAGGGUCGUAAAGCUCUUUCGCCUGUGAUGAUAAUGACAGUAGCAGGUAAAGAAACCCCGGCUAACUCCGUGCCAGCAGCCGCGGUAAUACGGAGGGGGUUAGCGUUGUUCGGAAUUACUGGGCGUAAAGCGCGCGUA
rnacentral:rRNA from 1 species